rnacentral:rRNA from 1 species
GCCUACGGGGGGCAGCAGUAGGGAAUUUUCGUCAAUGGGCGCAAGCCUGAACGAGCAAUGCCGCGUGAACGAGGAAGGUCUUCGGAUCGUAAAGUUCUGUUGAAGGGGAAAAAGAGCGGAGAGAGGAAAUGGUCUCCGAUUGAUAUUACCCUUCGAGGAAGUCACGGCUAACUACGUGCCAGCAGCCGCGGUAAUACGUAGGUGGCGAGCGUUAUCCGGAAUGAUUGGGCGUAAAGGGUGCGUAGGCGGCCUGCUAAGUCUGGAGUGAAAGGUACCGGCUCAACGGGUACAGGCUCUGGAAAAUG